AUUGAACGCUGGCGGCAGGCCUAACACAUGCAAGUCGAACGGAGUGGCGGACGGGUGAGUAAUGCCUAGGAAUCUGCCUGAUAGUGGGGGAUAACGUCUGGAAACGGGCGCUAAUACCGCAUACUAUCAGAUGAGCCUAGGUGGGAUUAGCUAGUUGGUGGGGUAAAGGCCUACCAAGGCGACGAUCCGUAACUGGUCUGAGAGGAUGAUCAGGAACACUGGAACUGAGACACGGGCCAGACUCCUACGGGAGGCAGCAGUGGGGAAUAUUGGACAAUGGGCGAAAGUCUGAUGCAGCCAUGCCGCGUGUGUGAAGAAGGUCUUCGGGUUGUAAAGGACUUUAAGUUGGGAGGCGUUACCAACAGAAUAAGCACCGGCUAACUUCGUGCCAGCAGCCGCGGUAAUAC
rnacentral:rRNA from 1 species